AUUGAACGCUGGCGGCAGGCCUAACACAUGCAAGUCGAGCGGUAGCACAGAGAGCUUGCUCUCGGGUGACGAGCGGCGGACGGGUGAGUAAUGUCUGGGAAACUGCCUGAUGGAGGGGGAUAACUACUGGAAACGGUAGCUAAUACCGCAUAACGUCGCAAGACCAAAGUGGGGGACCUUCGGGCCUCAUGCCAUCAGAUGUGCCCAGAUGGGAUUAGCUAGUAGGUGGGGUAACGGCUCACCUAGGCGACGAUCCCUAGCUGGUCUGAGAGGAUGACCAGCCACACUGGAACUGAGACACGGUCCAGACUCCUACGGGAGGCAGCAGUGGGGAAUAUUGCACAAUGGGCGCAAGCCUGAUGCAGCCAUGCCGCGUGUGUGAAGAAGGCCUUCGGGUUGUAAAGCACUUUCAGCGGGGAAGAAGGCGGUGAGGUUAAUAACCUUGUCGAUUGACGUUACCCGCAGAAUAAGCACCGGCUAACUCCGUGCCAGCAGCCCGCGGUAAUACGGAGGGUGCAAGCGUUAAUCGGAAUUACUGGGCGUAAAGCGCACGCAGGCGGUCUGUCAGUCGGAUGUGAAAUCCCCGGGCUCAACCUGGGAACUGCAUUCGAAACUGGCAGGCUAGAGUCUUGUAGAGGGGGGUAGAAUUCCAGGUGUAGCGGUGAAAUGCGUAGAGAUCUGGAGGAAUACCGGUGGCGAAGGCGGCCCCCUGGACAAAGACUGACGCUCAGGUGCGAAAGCGUGGGGAGCAAACAGGAUUAGAUACCCUGGUAGUCCACGCCGUAAACGAUGUCGAUUUGGAGGUUGUGCCCUUGAGGCGUGGCUUCCGGAGCUAACGCGUUAAAUCGACCGCCUGGGGAGUACGGCCGCAAGGUUAAAACUCAAAUGAAUUGACGGGGGCCCGCACAAGCGGUGGAGCAUGUGGUUUAAUUCGAUGCAACGCGAAGAACCUUACCUGGUCUUGACAUCCACAGAACUUUCCAGAGAUGGAUUGGUGCCUUCGGGAACUGUGAGACAGGUGCUGCAUGGCUGUCGUCAGCUCGUGUUGUGAAAUGUUGGGUUAAGUCCCGCAACGAGCGCAACCCUUAUCCUUUGUUGCCAGCGGUUAGGCCGGGAACUCAAAGGAGACUGCCAGUGAUAAACUGGAGGAAGGUGGGGAUGACGUCAAGUCAUCAUGGCCCUUACGACCAGGGCUACACACGUGCUACAAUGGCAUAUACAAAGAGAAGCGACCUCGCGAGAGCAAGCGGACCUCAUAAAGUAUGUCGUAGUCCGGAUUGGAGUCUGCAACUCGACUCCAUGAAGUCGGAAUCGCUAGUAAUCGUAGAUCAGAAUGCUACGGUGAAUACGUUCCCGGGCCU
rnacentral:rRNA from 1 species